ensembl:snoRNA
AUCCUUUAGUAGUUUAUAAACAUUAUGGUCGCGUUUUCAAUCACACAUGUGAGAUAUGCAUCCCUGCCUGGUUUGUGGGCGCUCACUCCUCUGACA